rnacentral:rRNA from 1 species
AUUGAACGCUGGCGGCAGGCUUAACACAUGCAAGUCGAACGAGUGGCGGACGGGUGAGUAAUGCUUGGAAAUCUAGCUUAUGGAGGGGGAUAACUACGGGAAACUGUAGCUAAUACCGCGUACCAUAGGAUGAGCCCAAGUGGGAUUAGGUAGUUGGUGAGGUAAAGGCUCACCAAGCCGACGAUCCCUAGCUGGUCUGAGCGGAUGACCGGCAAAACUGGAACGGAGAAACGGUCCAGACUCCUACGGGAGGCAGCAGUGGGGAAUAUUGCACAAUGGGCGCAAGCCUGAUGCAGCAAUGCCGCGUGUGUGAAGAAGGCCUUCGGGUUGUAAAGCACUUUCAGCGAGGAGGCGUUACUCGCAGAAGAAGCACCGGCUAACUCCGUGCCAGCAGCCGCGGUAAUAC